ACGAACGCUGGCGGCGUGCUUAACACAUGCCAGUCGAACGGAGAGGCCCUGCUUUUGUGGGGUGCUCGAGUGGCGAACGGGUGAGUAACACGUGAGUAACCUGCCCUUGACUUUGGGAUAACUUCAGGAAACUGGGGCUAAUACCGGAUAGGAGCUCCUGCUGCAUGGUGGGGGUUGGAAAGUUUCGGCGGUUGGGGAUGGACUCGCGGCUUAUCAGCUUGUUGGUGGGGUAGUGGCUUACCAAGGCUUUGACGGGUAGCCGGCCUGAGAGGGUGACCGGCCACAUUGGGACUGAGAUACGGCCCAGACUCCUACGGGAGGCAGCAGUGGGGAAUAUUGCACAAUGGGCGGAAGCCUGAUGCAGCAACGCCGCGUGCGGGAUGACGGCCUUCGGGUAGUAAACCGCUUUCGCCUGUGACGAAGCGUGAGUGACGGUAAUGGGUAAAGAAGCACCGGCUAACUACGUG
rnacentral:rRNA from 1 species